rnacentral:rRNA from 1 species
CUAAUACAUGCAAGUCGAGCGAGCGGAACCAACAGAUUUACUUCGGUAAUGACGUUGGGAAAGCGAGCGGCGGAUGGGUGAGUAACACGUGGGGAACCUGCCCCUAAGUCUGGGAUACCAUUUGGAAACAGGUGCUAAUACCGGAUAAUAAAGCAGAUCGCAUGAUCAGCUUUUGAAAGGCGGCGUAAGCUGUCGCUAAGGGAUGGCCCCGCGGUGCAUUAGCUAGUUGGUAAGGUAACGGCUUACCAAGGCGACGAUGCAUAGCCGAGUUGAGAGACUGAUCGGCCACAUUGGGACUGAGACACGGCCCAAACUCCUACGGGAGGCAGCAGUAGGGAAUCUUCCACAAUGGACGCAAGUCUGAUGGAGCAACGCCGCGUGAGUGAAGAAGGUUUUCGGAUCGUAAAGCUCUGUUGUUGGUGAAGAAGGAUAGAGGUAGUAACUGGCCUUUAUUUGACGGUAAUCAACCAGAAAGUCACGGCUAACUACGUGCCAGCAGCCGCGGUAAUACGUAGGUGGCAAGCGUUGUCCGGAUUUAUUGGGCGUAAAGCGAGCGCAGGCGGAAAAAUAAGUCUAAUGUGAAAGCCCUCGGCUUAACCGAGGAACUGCA